AUUGAACGCUGGCGGCGUGCUUAACACAUGCAAGUCGAGCGGUAACAGGCGUAGCAAUACGUGCUGACGAGCGGCGAACGGGUGAGUAAUGCUUCGGAAUCUUCCUUGUAGUGGGGAAUAACCUGGGGAAACUCAGGCUAAUGCCGCAUACGAACCAUGGUUGAAAGCGGGGGAUCGCAAGACCUCGCGCUAUAAGAUGAGCCGAAGUCGGAUUAGCUAGUUGGUGGGGUAAAGGCCUACCAAGGCGACGAUCCGUAGCUGGUCUGAGAGGACGACCAGCCACACUGGGACUGAGACACGGCCCAGACUCCUACGGGAGGCAGCAGUGGGGAAUAUUGGACAAUGGGGGCAACCCUGAUCCAGCGACGCCGCGUGUGUGAAGAAGGCCUGCGGGUUGUAAAGCACUUUUAGUGGGGACAAAAAGCCGAGGGCUAAUACCUUUCGGUCUUGAUUUAACCCAAAGAAAAAGCACCGGCUAACUCUGUGCCAGCCGCCGCAGUAAGAC
rnacentral:rRNA from 1 species